UACAGAGGUCUCAAGCGUUGUUCGGAUUCAUUGGGCGUAAAGGGUGCGUAGGCGGCGCGGUAAGUCGGGUGUGAAAUCUCGGAGCUUAACUCCGAAACUGCAUUCGAUACUGCCGUGCUUGAGGACUGGAGAGGAGACUGGAAUUUACGGUGUAGCGGUGAAAUGCGUAGAUAUCAGGAAGAACACCCGUGGCGAAGGCGGCUCUCUGGGGACGGUACUGACGCUGAGACGCGAAAAGCGUGGGGGAGCGAACAGG
rnacentral:rRNA from 1 species